CUCACGUACAGAGCGCCAUGUAGAUUCUUUCCUGUUCUCACAAAGGCUGUAGAAUGGAGGAACCAUGGACUCGCUAAAGACAAUGAAGUACAGACUUGUCAACAGUGUGUAAGAAAGCAGCCAUUUCUAAUAGACAAGAAAAUGCAAACAUGCACUAAGUCAUAAUGUUCGGAGACUUGGUCUUUAGAGGUCAGCAGCAAUAUGGGAAAUUAUGCUGUCUUUUUUGAAACCAAGUUUCACAGGGGCCUUGAACUCAUAGUCCUGCCUCUGCUUCCUGAGGCCUGGGCUUAUAGGUACCAAUGUUAAUUAUGUACGCAUUUCAUUUUAACAUAGACAUUGGAUGGAGGAAAAGAAGGAGUCCUAUAUGCUGGAAAUCUGCACUUUUUGUAGGUAUAUGUUGAGGCCUGGUUGGGAUGGAAGGACUGUGAGCAGAGUGCUUGUGAUUACAGCCUGGAGCAAUUGUUAUCUGAACCAUAGCAACUGUUGACUGAAACACAGACAGUCCGUCUUCUAAUGUCCUGAGAUUUUACAAUAUCUGAAGUGUCUUAAUAUGAACAAAGAAG
ensembl:lncRNA